GACGAACGCUGGCGGCGUGCUUAACACAUGCAAGUCGAACGGAAAGGCCCUGCUUUUGUGGGGUGCUCGAGUGGCGAACGGGUGAGUAACACGUGAGUAACCUGCCCUUGACUUUGGGAUAACUUCAGGAAACUGGGGCUAAUACCGGAUAGGAGCUCCUGCUGCAUGGUGGGGGUUGGAAAGUUUCGGCGGUUGGGGAUGGACUCGCGGCUUAUCAGCUUGUUGGUGGGGUAGCGGCUUACCAAGGCUUUGACGGGUAGCCGGCCUGAGAGGGUGACCGGCCACAUUGGGACUGAGAUACGGCCCAGACUCCUACGGGAGGCAGCAGUGGGGAAUAUUGCACAAUGGGCGGAAGCCUGAUGCAGCAACGCCGCGUGCGGGAUGACGGCCUUCGGGUUGUAAACCGCUUUCGCCUGUGACGAAGCGUGAGUGACGGUAAUGGGUAAAGAAGCACCGGCUAACUACGU
rnacentral:rRNA from 1 species